rnacentral:rRNA from 1 species
AUUGAACGCUGGCGGCAUGCCUUACACAUGCAAGUCGAACGGUAACAGGUCUUCGGAUGCUGACGAGUGGCGAACGGGUGAGUAAUACAUCGGAACGUGCCUAGUAGUGGGGGAUAACUACUCGAAAGAGUGGCUAAUACCGCAUGAGAUCUACGGAUGAAAGCAGGGGAUCGCAAGACCUUGUGCUAAUAGAGCGGCCGAUGGCAGAUUAGGUAGUUGGUGGGAUAAAAGCUUACCAAGCCGACGAUCUGUAGCUGGUCGGAGAGGACGAUCAGCCACACUGGGACUGAGACACGGCCCAGACUCCUACGGGAGGCAGAAGUGGGGAAUUUUGGACAAUGGGCGCAAGCCUGAUCCAGCAAUGCCGCGUGCAGGAUGAAGGCCUUCGGGUUGUAAACUGCUUUUGUACGGAACGAAAAGCCCUGGGUUAAUAACCUGGGGUCAUGACGGUACCGUAAGAAUAAGCACCGGCUAACUACGUGCCAGCAGCCGCCGUAA